rnacentral:tRNA from 1 species
AUCCCUUUUAGCUUAAUAUAAAGCGUGGAUUUGAAGAAUCUAAGAUUCUUGAGGGAG